rnacentral:rRNA from 1 species
GACGUAGGGCGCGAGCGUUGUCCGGAUUUAUUGGGCGUAAAGAGCUCGUAGGCGGCUUGUCGCGUCGGCUGUGAAAACCCGUGGCUCAACUGCGGGCUUGCAGCCGAUACGGGCAGGCUAGAGUUCGGUAGGGGAGAACGGAAUUCCCGGUGUAGCGGUGAAAUGCGCAGAUAUCAGGAGGAACACCGGUGGCGAAGGCGGAUCUCUGGGCCGAUACUGACGCUGAGGAGCGAAAGCGUGGGGAGCGAACAGG